GUUCAGACAAGUAACAUCCCUCAUAAAUUAUGUAGCCAACAUGGGUAAAAGAUCGUAUUAUUUAGACGACUCCUUAUUGCUUUCAAGCAAAGCCUUAGUGGAUCCACUUAGUUGAAAUGUUCUAUUUCUCUGCAAGGUAUAGGACAGUUCUGGCAGCAUGAACAAGACGUUAUACCGUCGCGUUCCUCAUAGUGAUGGUUAUCGAUUAGAGGAUCUCCCAGAUAGAAUUAAAAGUGUAUUUUUAUCAUAUCACUUAAUAUUUUGAGUUCACAGAUGAGUAGGUAUUUGUAAAGUUUAAAUAUUUUCACUCAUUUAUUUCUUUACUUACAGUUGAGUAAAUAUUUAUAUGUAUUGUAGUUCUUUCAUUCAGUUAUUUUGCUUUAGUUA
rnacentral:misc_RNA from 1 species